AAAGACAACGAGUUGAGCUGGGGUAGGGGGUGUUGACCUAGAGACUGACAUUUCAUUGCCAAAGUAAAGGAGGACCAAAGCAAAAAUGUAAGAAUGCAUAUUAUUCACAGAAUAGAUCUUAAAAGCAAUUUCAGUGUCUAAGCUCUACAGGCAGAAAUUUCCAAUGAGUAGAGAUGAAACGUUUACAAGUGCUAAAGCCAGAGAAAGAGUCAUGUAUGGAUGUGAGAGUUGGACUGUGAAGAAGGCUGAGUGACGAAGAAUUGAUGCUUUUGAACUGUGGUGCUGGAGAAGACUCUUGAGAGUCCCUUGGACUGCAAGGAGAUCCAACCAGUCCAUUCUGAAGGAGAUCAGCCCUGGGAUUUCUUUGGAAGGAAUGAUGCUAAAGCUGAAACUCCAGUACUUUGGCC
ensembl:lncRNA